GCUCCAGUGGCCUAGUGGUUAGAGCAUCUGCCUCAGAUGCAGGAGGUCAUGGGUUUGAUCCGGUCGAGUCACACCAAAGACU